rnacentral:lncRNA from 1 species
AAAUAUUAAAAAGCGAAUAAAAAUAUUAAAUGAAUUUUAAAACAAUGAAUUAUACUAAUAGAAAACUCAAUUAAAACAGAAUUUAAGUAGAAGAGAUAAUUUACAAAAUAAAAAAACUUAUUGAAAUAGAAAUAAUGACUAAAGCUUAAUAUACACGAAUAUUCAGUAUUUAGGCGCGGGCCAAAUUGAAGUGUCACACAAAUUCUAGGGCCAAUUUAAAACAAAUAAAAUGCGAAUAAGGGUUAAUCAAAAGAAUGCGCAAACGGGGAGGACUAUACGCCAAAAUCUACCAUUUUCAAAUUCUUUAUAUGGCCAAAUUCCAACCAAACAACCUAAUCGGCUAAACCAAACUCCAAUCCCCUUUUUUCUUCCUUAUCAAACCCCAAAAUCUCACUAAAACUGGCGAUUCACAUUCCCCAAACAGCAGCCAACAUAUUCAAGCCCUGAUAGAAGAUCUUUCAGCCUUGAAGUCUCUUUUCCACUUCGAUCGCAACGAAGCAAAAGAAACUUUCGGCAUAUUUGCAAGAUAAGGCUUAUUCUUCUCUUUUUCUUUUGUUUUUCCUUAAAUGCAUAUGAUGAAAAACAAAGAAAAUAGAUGAACAAUUAAUAGAAGACGAAAGAAAUUAAAAAAAAAAGAAAUCAGAAAUCACCAAAAAGAACUACUUUCCCCUUUUUCUCUUAAGUAUCCGUAAAAAAUAUAGUACAUUCAGUCAUCCCUUUUAUAGCUAAAAAAUGAAAAUAAAAUAAAUAAGAAAAGUCCAAUUGCUUUGCUGUAAUACUGCGUAUUCUGUUAUUUGCUUAUUCUCGCGUGUUCCAUUUGCAGAAAAGAACCGUCCAACGGCACGAGCAGAGACGCGCGCGAGGGACUGUUGGCGCACGUGUGGUGUUCGUCCGUAUCACUGGCUGGUUACUGGUGAUUUCCAGAAGCUUCUGGCCUUGCUUUGAGUACGAACUGCUAGGAGCACAGACUAUGGCUGUGGCGCUGAUCAGCAACUGGGAUUUGGGCUAGGGUUAGUCUUAGAUUGGGCCACCUGUGAAUCGGGCUAGGGAUUUUAGGUUUUGGGCUUUUAUUGGGUGUUGGGUUUUGUACUAGGCUACUAUAAUUUGGGGUUAAUGGGUUUUGAAAUUUGGAAUGUAAGUGGACUGUUAAAGUUUGGACUUUUUAUUUUUAUUUUAAUUUAUUUUUGGUUUAUUUUUUUGUUAACGGGCCCGGGCGAAAUGGGCCUAUUACAGUAAUAGUGACUUUCAAUAUCAUGCAUCCAUAGUGAAGUGGGUUGGAUGAUGAGGCACAACAUGCCAACAAUGGGGCGGUAGUGAAUUUGGCAACACUCACCCCACCCCAUUUUCAUGAUGUCAUCCCUACUCUAACCGCUCAAAUGACAAAAUAUCAUUUUAGCAUCUUUAAAUUUCUAAAAUUAUAUGUUAGUUUAAUGGUAAAAAUAUACUUUAGCUCCUUAAAGAUGAUAAAAUUUCAAUUUAAACCCUUUAGAAAUUCUAAAAUAAUAAAUAUAUAAUAAUUUACAAUACUAUAAUAUGAU